GAGGAUGAGGACGAGGAUCUCGAGGGUUACCCCAAAAGUGUCCCCGGGAGGCGCCGGAGGAACAAGCAGUGGAACCGUCGGAACGAGCGGGGUGAGACCCCCCUGCACCGAGCCUGCAUCGAGGGAGACCCCAAAAAAGUUCGAUUUUACCUGGAUCAGGGUCACCCCAUAAAUGCUCGAGAUUAUUGUGGUUGGACCCCCCUGCACGAGGCUGCCAAUCA